UACGUAGGGUGCGAGCGUUAAUCGGAAUUACUGGGCGUAAAGCGUGCGUAGGCGGUCCGCUGUGUCCCGUGUGAAAGCCCCGGGCUUAACCUGGGAAUUGCAUGGGAAACUGGCGGGCUUGAGUGUGGCAGAGGAGGGUGGAAUUCCGCGUGUAGCAGUGAAAUGCGUAGAUAUCUGGAGGAACACCGGUGGCGAAGGCGGCAUCCUGGACCGGUAUUGACGCUGAGGCGCGAAAGCCAGGGGAGCAAACGGG
rnacentral:rRNA from 1 species